GGGCAGAAUUGACCUGUUUAUAUAAAUCCUUUUCUUUUCUGUCCUCUUGUUUGAAAGGGAAAGAGGGGGAGUGAAGAUCAUGUGUACAUUUUUUGAAUGCAAGGUACAAAGAGGACAAAUGGUAAUACAUCGAAGGGUACAUGCAGUGUUUUAAAUUUCAAAGUGCAAGUAUUUGUGAAUACCAUAUCUCAUUGUAUAUAUAUGUAGGGAAUAUUAGCAACAGACUACGUUAUUGAAAUCACCAUUAAGCCAUGGGACCCGUCUGAUACCAGGAACGCAGAUGUAGCUUGUGGGACACUUGUCAACAUCCACCCAUUUCAUGCUGACGAGGAAGGGACAGUGUACUUCAGAACACAGGCUAGCCUGAGACAGUACAGUAUGAUAGAAGCUGCACAUCUUACCAGACAAGAGACUAAAGAAUUAUGUCAACAGGAGGUCCAAAGACUUGAAAAUGAAGUACAAUUACUGAAGGAGAAAAUAAAGGCAAAAGAAGAAUGUGGCGUUUGAAUUUUUGAAUUGCCACGGUGGGGAAGAAGACAUCCUUUGUUGUUGUUUCUUUUUGUUUUUAAGGACUUAUAUGUUUACUUUUCUAUUUGAUAAGUUGAAUUUUUCUGUUCAUUUCGAGUUGUUCCAUGUGUUUUGCUUGAGUAUACAUUUAUACGUGAAUAUAGAUUUACCAAGUUAUUUUUGUAAUGCACAAUUUGAUGUACAUUGAUUAUCUUUUUCACUGCCAGAGGCUGGCAACACGCAGCAAAAGUACAAUUUUAAUUGUUUUAAAGUGUUUACAAACAGAAGUUUGCUGGGGAAAAACUACUAUUAUUUACAAGCUUGAAGGCAGUGAGAUGUUAAAAAAAUGCAAAGAUUUACAUAGUGACACUAGUUAACAGUGUGAUGAUGUGCAUGAACAGACAAUGAGCCAAACUUUCUAAUGCAUAAUAAGAAUAAAUAGUACUAGUAUAUUGUUUACACUAUACAAUACUAACUGUGCUUGAAAAUACAAAAUGUGCUGCAUUGUAUUUAAAAAAGAAACACGUUAUGAUAUAAGAUAUUUCAGUUCCACUGUACUGGAGGAAAAAAAUCCAGAUAUUUAGAUUUUUGAAAAUAAAACUCUGUUUUC
rnacentral:misc_RNA from 1 species